CACGUAGGGUGCGAGCGUUGUCCGGAAUUAUUGGGCGUAAAGAGCUCGUAGGCGGUGUGUCGCGUCGGCCGUGAAAACCUGCAGCUUAACGGUGGGCUUGCGGUCGAUACGGGCAUCACUGGAGUUCGGCAGGGGAGACUGGAAUUCCUGGUGUAGCGGUGAAAUGCGCAGAUAUCAGGAGGAACACCGGUGGCGAAGGCGGGUCUCUGGGCCGAUACUGACGCUGAGGAGCGAAAGCGUGGGGAGCGAAUAGG
rnacentral:rRNA from 1 species